AUACAUGCAAGUCGAGCGGACAGAAGGGAGCUUGCUCCCGGAUGUUAGCGGCGGACGGGUGAGUAACACGUGGGUAACCUGCCUGUAAGACUGGGAUAACUCCGGGAAACCGGAGCUAAUACCGGAUAGUUCCUUGAACCGCAUGGUUCAAGGAUGAAAGACGGUUUCGGCUGUCACUUACAGAUGGAUCCGCGGCGCAUUAGCUAGUUGGUGGGGUAAUGGCUCACCAAGGGGAGGAUGCGUAUCCGACCUGAGAGGGUGAUCGGCCACACUGGGACUGAGACACGGCCCAUACUCCGAGGGGAGGCUGA
rnacentral:rRNA from 1 species